rnacentral:lncRNA from 10 species
UUUCAGUUUCUCGGAGAGCUGGGGAGAGAGGUACAGACAAGUGAUAACAUUGAGAAUAAUAUAAAGACAAACCUAAAAUUAAUAAAUAUAGACACUUCUUAUUAAGUCAUUUUUGGAAGCCAGGAUUUACUUAUGUUGUCUUGUGGAAUCCUCAAAAUAGCCCUGACAAGUGAGUAGUACCAGUUUUACAAAUGGGGAAACAGAGUCUUGGAAAGGUUAAGUAAUUUGGUUGCUCAGCGGGUCAGCAACAACAAUAUUAUCUCCACCCAGAUCCUUCAGGUUCCAAAGCCCGGUAUUUAUGCUCCCAACAUAGUGGCCAAUGGCCAUGUUAUAGAUUGGCUAGGCUGGGAGGCCUGGAAAGCAGGAUAUCAUGACUGGGUGCCGCACCCCUGGGUCUCCAGGUCCUAAGACAGCUACUCGUGGGGCUGAGGCAGGAGAAUCGCUUGAACCCAGGAGGCAGAGGUUGCAGUGAGCCGCGAUCGAGCCAUUGCACUCCAGCCUGGGUGACAGAGUGAGACUCCGUCUCAAAAAAAUCUUUUUCCCUAGACAGUCUUGCUCUGUUGCCCAGGCUGGUGUGCAGUGGUGCAAUCAUAGCUCACUGCAACCUCAAACUCCUGGGCUCAAGCGGGUAUGAGCCACUGUGCCCAGGCUCUCACAAAUAUUUUAAGCCCUAUCAACCACUAAGAUUCUGUUUACUAUUAAAUUAGCCCAAGCUGGUUUCACAAAUCCCAUUCUCAAUC